rnacentral:rRNA from 1 species
UACAGAGGGUGCGAGCGUUGUCCGGAAUCACUGGGCGUAAAGGGCGCGUAGGCGGUUUGGCAAGCGUGCGGUGAAAGCUCGGGGCUCAACCCCGAGUCGGCCGUGCGAACUGCCGGACUUGAGCACAGUAGAGGCAGAUGGAAUUCCGGGAGUAGCGGUGGAAUGCGUAGAGAUCCGGAAGAACACCGGUGGCGAAGGCGGUCUGCUGGGCUGUGGCUGACGCUGAUGCGCGACAGCGUGGGGAGCAAACAGG